rnacentral:lncRNA from 1 species
GUUUAGCUGCUAUUAGUUACAGCAGCAAAGACACAAUACCUGGAAGCAGAGUUUGCCAGAGGAAAAAGUACGUGAAAUCAACUUCAGCAUCCCCUUCGAGUUCUCCGGUAGAACGAACAAUAUUCAGGCAAAACAUUUGCUACAGUUCCGAUGCUUCGAGCACAGUAUCCGAGGAUCCAGGAAAACGAAGAAGAUAAUUAAUGACAUGUCGUCUUUUUAGCAGUAUAAUUUUGAUCUAUAUAGAUGUACUCAUAUAUAAAUGAAGAUAAACUUAGAUCUUUUGAUAGAGAAAAAAAGAUUACGGUAUCAUUGAAAAUAAUUGUUGGUAUAUAUGGUAUUAAUCACGACAGUAACCUAACAAUAA